AUUGAACGCUGGCGGCAUGCUUUACACAUGCAAGUCGAACGGCAGCGCGGGCUUCGGCCUGGCUGCGAGUGGCGAACGGGUGAGUAAUGCAUUGGAACGUGCUCAGCAGUGGGGGAUAGCCCGGCGAAAGCCGGAUUAAUACCGCAUACGACCUGAGGGUGAAAGCGGGGGACCGAAAGGCCUCGCGCUAUUGGAGCGGCCGAUGUCGGAUUAGCUAGUUGGUGGGGUAAAGGCUUACCAAGGCGACGAUCCGUAGCUGGUCUGAGAGGACGACCAGCCACACUGGGACUGAGACACGGCCCAGACUCCUACGGGAGGCAGCAGUGGGGAAUUUUGGACAAUGGGGGCAACCCUGAUCCAGCCAUGCCGCGUGCGGGAAGAAGGCCUUCGGGUUGUAAACCGCUUUUGUUCGGGAAGAAAUCCUCUGGGCUAAUACCCCGGGGGGAUGACGGUACCGGAAGAAUAAGCACCGGCUAACUACGUG
rnacentral:rRNA from 1 species